AACGAACGCUGGCGGCAGGCCUAACACAUGCAAGUCGAGCGGACCCUUCGGGGCUAGCGGCGGACGGGUGAGUAACGCGUGGGAAUAUGCCCUUCUCUACGGAAUAGUCCUGGGAAACUGGGGGUAAUACCGUAUACGCCCUUCGGGGGAAAGAUUUAUCGGGGAAGGAUUAGCCCGCGUUGGAUUAGGUAGUUGGUGGGGUAAGGGCCUACCAAGCCGACGAUCCAUAGCUGGUUUGAGAGGAUGAUCAGCCACACUGGGACUGAGACACGGCCCAGACUCCUACGGGAAGCAGCAGUGGGGGAUCUUAGACAAUGGGGGCAACCCUGAUCUAGCCAUGCCGCGUGAGUGAUGAAGGCCUUAGGGUUGUAAAGCUCUUUCAGCCGGGAAGAUAAUGACGGUACCAGCAGAAGAAGCCCCGGCUAACUCCGUG
rnacentral:rRNA from 1 species